rnacentral:rRNA from 1 species
GACGAACGCUGGCGGCGUGCCUAAUACAUGCAAGUAGAACGCAGUUGCGACCGGUUGAGUCACGCGUCGGUAAAUGCCUGGUAGCGGGGGAUCACUAUUGUAAACGAUAGCUAAUACCGCAUACUACCAGAUGGACCUGCGUUGUAUUAGCUAGUUGGUGGGGUAACGGCUCACCAAGGCCAAGAUACAUAGCCGACCUGAGAGGGUGAUCGGCCAAACUGGGACUGAGACACUGCCCAGACUCCUACGGGAGGCAGCAGUAGGGAAGAUUCGGCAAUGGACGGAAGGCUGACCGAGCAACGCCGCGUGAGUGAAGAAGGUUUUCGGAUCGUAAAGCUCUGUUGUAAGAGAAGCGGUAUCUUACCAGAAAGGGACGGCUAACUACGUGCCAGCAGCCGCGGUAAAC